UCUCCUUUAGUAUAGGGGUAGUACACAAGCCUGUCACGCUUGCAGCCCGGGUUCGAAUCCCGGAGGGAGAG
rfam:Schizosaccharomyces pombe chromosome III, complete replicon